GGGGAGUGAAAUAGAUCCUGAAACCGCAUGCAUACAAAAAGUCGGAGCCUGGAAACGGGUGACGGCGUACCUUUUGUAUAAUGGGUCAGCGACUUACAUUCAGUGGCGAGCUUAACCGAAUAGGGUAAGCGAAGAGAAAUCGAGUCCGAAUAGGGCGUCUAGUCGCUGGGUGUAGACCCGAAACCAAGUGAUCUAUCCAUGGCCAGGAUGAAGGUGCCGUAACAGGUACUGGAGGACCGAACCGAUAAGCGUUGAAAAGCUUCCGGAUGAGCUGUGGGUAGGGGUGAAAGGCCAAUCAAACUGAGAAAUAGCUCGUACUCCCCGAAAUGUUUUUAGGAACAGCGUCGUGGAAUGUAUUGAUGAGGUAGAGCUACCGAUAGGACUAGGGGGAGUCACAUCCUACCAAAUCCUGACGAACUCCGAAUGCAUUGAUACAGUAACGGCAGUGAGGGCUUGGGUGCUAAGGUCCGAGUCCGAGAGGGAAAGAACCCAGACCUACCGCUAAGGUCCCAAAAUCCAUACUAAGUUGAACAAAGGUGGUCCAGCUGCUUAGACAGCCAGGAGGUUAGCUUGGAAGCAGCUAUUCCUUUAAAGAGUGCGUAACAGCUCACUGGUCGAGCGGCAGGGCGUCGAUAAUAAACGGGCAUCAAGUGUGGUACCGAAGCGUAGGAUCAGACAUUAGUCUGGUGGUAGGGGAGCAUUCCAGUAACAGAGAAGGUGCAUGGUAAUGUGUGCUGGAGUUGUUGGAAAAGCAAAUGUAGGCAUAAGUAACGAUAAUGCGGGCGAGAAACCCGCACACCGAUAGACCAAGGUUUCCUGAUCAACGCUAAUCGGAUCAGGGUCAGUCGGGACCUAAGGAUAACCCAUGUGGGGAUUCCGAUGGCAAAUGGGUUGAUAUUCCCAUACUGUAUAUACAGGUGAUGGAGUGACGGAGUGAUGAAAGAUCCGCGCAGUGACGGAAUACUGCGUUAAAGCGUGUAGGUAUUGGAGAUAUGUAAAUGCGUGUCUUUAGCCGAACGUGACAGUACCGUGCGUCUACGGACAACCGGAUAGUGAUCCUAAGGGCUUCCAAGAAAAACUUCUAGCGUUAAGCGUAUAUACACCCGUACCGCAAACCGACACAGGUGGUCAAGGAGAGAAUCCUGAGGUGCUCGAGUGAAUCAUGGCUAAGGAACUCGGCAAAAUGGCCCUGUAACUUCGGGAGAAGGGGCGCCUACCCAAGCGAUUGGGAGGCCGCAGUGAAAAGGCCCAGGCGACUGUUUAGCAAAAACACAUGGCUUUGCGAACUCGAAAGAGUAUGUAUAAGGCCUGACACCUGCCCGGUGCCGGAAGGUUAAGAGGGGAUGUUACCGCAAGGGAAGCAUUGAAUUGAAGCCCCGGUAAACGGCGGCCGUAACUAUAACGGUCCUAAGGUAGCGAAAUUCCUUGUCGGGUAAGUUCCGACCUGCACGAAUGGUGUAACGAUCUGGGCGCUGUCUCAGCCA
rnacentral:rRNA from 1 species